rnacentral:rRNA from 1 species
CACGUAGGGCGCGAGCGUUGUCCGGAAUUAUUGGGCGUAAAGAGCUCGUAGGCGGCCUGUUGCGUCCGCUGUGAAAGCCCGGGGCUUAACCCCGAGUCUGCAGUGGAUACGGGCAGGCUAGAGGUAGGUAGGGGAGAAUGGAAUUCCCGGUGUAGCGGUGAAAUGCGUAGAUAUCUGGAGGAACACCGGUGGCGAAGGCGGCAUCCUGGACCGGCAUUGACGCUGAGGAGCGAAAGCCAGGGGAGCAAACGGG